CCAAAUCCCUAAUUCCCCUUUCCCAUUCCCCACUCGCGCCGCCCUGGGCUCUCCGCCGCCGCCGCGCCAUUGUGCUGCACCCGCGCGACCCUACUGGACUGCCGCCCCACACCGCCUGCCCCCAUGCGCUCGACCCCUCUCGUCUGCACCGGCGCACUCCCCUGACCACAAGAACUUUGGCGUCGUCACCGUCAUGGCAUGCGGCCGGCAGAUCCCGGGGAGACGGGAUUCAACCUGCGGCAGAGGGCUGUUGCCCUGUACUAGAAGACUGCGCCGGCCGUGGUGAAGUACUCCAUGGAGGCGCUGCUGCUCGUGGUGUCCAACCCCGUUGACGUCCUCGCCGGCCUCGCCUUCAAGAUUUCAGAGUUGGGUUCCAGGCGAGCGGCGUCAUCUGCUCCGGUACCGACCUCGACGCCUCCUGGUUUUGGUUCCUCAUCAACGACCCCCCGCCAUCAACGCACAGGACGUGCAGGAUUCCCAGCCCACCCCAGCAUCCCCUUCAACCCGGAACCAGUUUACUGUUGCGCCUCUGCAACCUUACAGGUCGCCACAGUCUGUGCAACAGCUAGCAGCAGGGCCCAUUGUCGUUGCCGUGCAUCCCAGGUUCAUCUGCUUGCUGCUGUUGCCAUCGCUGAAACCAACCAGGAGUUAGUGGCUUCAAAGCACCAAAGUUGGUCGGACAAUCUGGUGCUUAUCUGCUGGGAUUUUGAAUUGAAUAUGUGUGGAAUUUCUGGUAGCUAUGUGGAUCUAUUGGCUCCGAAAACUGAUACCCCAGUGUCUACAAUUUGUGGCCAUGUAGGCUCAAGCGUCUCUCCUUCAUCAUGUAAAAUGUCAACUUGAAAAUCGUCUAGGCAGAAGGGUACAUCCCCAAGAGGCCCAAUUGCAGGGCGAACCUGGGCAGCCCAGGUCAUUUAUUUAGAAGACGAGCACUCCACCAGGCUGUUUCUCAAUGUAUCAUUUUGGUCUCUUGUAGUAAAAACUUUGGCGAUGCUCAUGACAGGCAGUGACACUCUGUGGUGGUGUCGAGCGUUGGGGUAGGAAAGCAGAACAUCAUCAACUCUGCCUCACCUCUUCCACUCGUGCUGUCUGAUGAUGUUCAAGCUGGAGGAUGUUCUGCAAUGAGAUGUGGAAUGAAGGCUUUGAUGUCAAGUACGAGAAUGAUGCAAGGAUGUUGGUGGAAGGCUGUGAGGAUGGGUAUGUAGUUACCCACUACAAGGAGCCAAGGCAGAUGAUGUGCCUCUUAGAAAAAUUCUAGUAAACACUAGGAAUUUUUGCUCUCAGACAAUGAACCAUAAUGUCUCCUCUAUUUCAUUAGUUACAUAAGUUUACAGGAAACUUGGAUGGUCAUUGGUUCAUAACAUAUGCACUAUUUAUAUGUGAAAAUUAAUGGAUGUGUGUUAUUAUUGUUUGGUUCUGAUA